AGCGAACGCUGGCGGCAGGCCUAACACAUGCAAGUCGAGCGCCCCGCAAGGGGAGCGGCAGACGGGAGAGUAACACGUGGGAACGUACCCUUUGGUUCGGAACAACCCAGGGAAACUUGGGCUAAUACAGGAUAAGCCCUUACGGGGAAAGAUUCAUCGCCGAAGGAUCGGCCCGCGUCGGAUUAGCUAGUUGGUGGGGUAACGGCCCACCAAGGCGACGAUCAGUAGCUGGUCUGAGAGGAUGAUCAGCCUCACUGGGACUGAGACACGGCCCAGACUCCUACGGGAGGCAGCAGUGGGGAAUAUUGGACAAUGGGCGCAAGCCUGAUCCAGCCAUGCCGCGUGGGUGAUGAAGGCCCUAGGGUUGUAAAGCCCUUUCGGCGGGGAAGAUAAUGACGGUACCCGCAGAAGAAGCCCCGGCUAACUUCGUGCCAGCAGCCGCAGUAACAC
rnacentral:rRNA from 1 species